rnacentral:misc_RNA from 1 species
UGUUCAUAAUAAUCAUCAAUUUCAGUUUGUAUUCUUUGAACUUUCUACAAUAACUCAUCCAUGGAAUCAUUAAUUGCAUUCCGUGUUCCUAUCGUAUCUGUGCAUUACAUUAUAAUAAAAGAAGUACCUCACUUGCUAGAAUAAGGUGAAACCAAACACACACUUAAUCUUAAUUGGUGAGCUAUUCUUCUAGCUUGGCUGGGUUUUGAGCCGACCAAAAUGAAACUGUCUAUCGGAACAUUGGAUGACAGAUCCGAUAACAUAAACACGAUUUGUGGUACACGGCAAUAACCAGGGAAAACUCAGGAGUCGGAAAAAUAGGUUUCCUAUCAGAUUGAGUUCCGAUUUGGAAUCUAACCCAUUGGGUUUGGCUUCUAAGAGCUUUAGUUUGGAGCUCUAAUGGCUAGAAAGUGUAGAUCGACGAUCGUCGACACUUCUAGGAGGAAUGAACAUGGCAAAUAGUGGGAUUUAGAUGGGUCACGAUUCGGGUCAACUCUUGACCCUAUUGGAUCUUCGGGUUUGGCCCACCUCAAGCGACUGGAAGAGUGCCUCUCGAAUCGCCACAGACCGGCGAGUCUUCAAGCAGUAGUGGUUGGGCUGUUUGACGACCAAGAGAUGGUGCAAAGGUGGGGGCAGUGGCUGUGGAUUCUCUUUUCCUCACGACUUUGUUCCUACUUUGUUAGAAGAUUCUAUUUCCAUUUUUUUCCUUCAAACAGUAAACUAAGGUAGGAAUGGGAAUUUUGGAUUGAUGUUAGGCUCUAAUAAUAAAUUGAUGUAGCACCAAAAAGAUCAUAGGCAAACAAGGAAUAAAUCCUUAAAAGAUAACUAAUUCUCAAAUUAUAUUAAUCUCAAAUAAUAAUCAUAUAAAGUCUCAAACUAAUACUUUCUUAAACAACAACAACAACAAUAAUAA